GGAGGGUAUGCGAAUUGGCUAGCAACCUGAUUCGAAAUCAGGCGCCCGCUUGCGGGUUGCGGGUUCGAGUCCCGUGCCCUCCG
rnacentral:tRNA from 1 species